ensembl:lncRNA
CCUUGAGAUAUUUCUACUUCCCAUUUUCAGGCUCCUCUUGAUCACUGGAACCUUCCCCAUGGGGGGCCCAGACAUCCUUGAGUGAAACCAGCUAUGCUCAAUAAGCAAAGUCCAAAUUCCUGACUCAGAAUUCAGGAGCACAUAUUAUAAAUGGUGAUGUUUUAACUCCUCUACUGGCUGCACCACCACUCUGACCCUGGCUUCCCUCUUAACCCACAGAUGUGAAGGUGUUGUUUUUCUUGUCUACUGCUGAACCUACAGUGUGUCAAGUACUAUACAGCUCAAAGGAGGCAUUGAAUCGCUAGAUUUUAGUCACUGCAGAUCAACCUAACUACGUAGUCCCUGUGAGGCCAUCACUAGGCAUAGCGACUGAUGAGAAUGGAUGUCCCGCUUGCCAUCUGAGCCCCCAAGUUAACUGAUGGUGUGGACAGUUGCGAUGGUGCUGCUUGUGAUGUUCCUGCCUUGGACCCAUGGAUUCACUCCAUCUUUGUCAUUCUAUCUCUGGUGGACAUUGAACUUUAUAAAAUGUGAUAAAAAGUACUUUUAGUCUUGGAAGGAGCAAACUGGACUGUCUGAAAAACAACUUUUUAAGUGAAAACGGGAACUUUUGGUGGAGAUCCACUGUUUCCAAAACCUUGAAGGAACAAAGGUUGCCACUCGCCAGCACCUGGGGAGUCAAUAUGCGUCUAUCAGCUCUUGACUUUGGGCCCAGUGCACCUUCUUGAUCCUGAUUACUGCAGACACCUUCUGAUUCAUCUUCCACAAACCGAGUAUUCGCAGCCCAACUGUUCAGAUGAACCUUAAAUCAGGGAUUGAACUCGGGACCUUGUGCUUGCAAGGCAGGAGGCAGAACAAUUGAGAUAAAUCCCCCGCAGCAUCUUCUUUUUUUUCUUCUUUUGGCCAUGGGACUCCCUCUGCAAUCGACAAGCUGUGUGCUUGGAAAAGAUUUAGAACAAAGACGGUUUUGACUUGUGAGCUUUGCCCACACACAGAGCACAAAAACUGGAAGCUUACACAUUAUCUCUCAUUGGCUGGCUUCAGAGGACAUGAGAUGGUUAAAAAUACUUAAAAAGGAAAUGAAGAAAUCAUGGCAUUUUGUUCACGGUUGUGUGGUUUCCCCGUUGGCUUGGGGAAAGGAGGACAAACAAGUAUUUUCCAGCUAACCCCAGCCACGGCCAGCAAUCUGGUGUUCACCGAAAGAGCAGAGCGUGAAGAGUUCAUUCUGUUGCACUCAACCAUUGAGACACCACCAAGGUGUCACGGCUUGGUCAUUUGACACCAACGGUAGGACAGGAACCAGCUGCCAGUUUAGGGCAAGGGAGUCUUGAGAAAUAAUGGGAGUGUGUUCAACGCAGAAUGAAUGAAAGUUGCUUUUAACACUUCCUUAUAUUUUACCCUGGAUGUGGAGUGGUGCUGUCUAGUAUAUCUCAGUUCUGGUGCUACUUAUUUUAUUUGCUGCGUGCGUGCGUGUGUGUGUGUGUGUGUGUGUGUGUGUGUGUGUUGGGGGAGGGAGUCGAACUCAGGGUCUGUCACAGGAUAGGCAAGCACUCUACCACUGAGCUACACCUCGGCUGCUCAAUUAUAAUUUUAAAUAGUUUGCAGUGCUCCACAGAGCAAUGGAUUACUGCACAGGGCAAAGCAAACUGUUCCUGUUUCAGGACGUUAUUUGCAUGUCCCCCCCCUCCCCCGGAGCUAGAUACAUCUUGGGUUGGGUCACAUGAUAUUGAUGAUCCCAUCUUCAGUGUGGACGGAAGAGAGGUGAUAACUAAGAUACGUUUAGUGCUCCUCAGACUCUCAAAUCCAUCUUUACAAAAUAUCUCGUUUAGCCUGGUGUUGUGGCACAUGCCCGGAAUCGAAGCUGCUCAGGAGGCUGAGGCAGGAGGAUUGGAAGUUGCAGGCCAGCCUGGUCAGUUUAGUGACUUAGUGAUAUAUUGUUCCAAAAUUACAAAUAAAGAAAGCAUAGGAAUGUAGCUCAGUGUGAAGGCCCUGGGUUUUGUCUCCAAUAUCACAAAAAUAAAUAUUUAGAAAAUGAAAUAAAAUAGGCUAGCGAUUGUGUUCAAUGGCAGGGCACCCCUCGG